CUUUCUAGACACACUUUCCAGUACGUCUACUUUGUUACGACUUAUCUCCUCUUAAAAGGAGAGUGACGGGCGAUAUGUACACAUUCUAUUGCCUUGUUCAGUUUAUUUUCCUAAAAUAAACUUACUAACAAAUCCACCUUCACCCAAAUUAUAAUUUAAGAUCCGUAUUUUUUUUAAAAACUGUAGCUCACCAUUUCCUUCACAUAAACUGCACCUUGACCUGAAGUAAAAAGAUUAAUUUUAUAGAAAACAUCCUUUUGGAGUAAUCUGACAACGGAGGUAUACAAGUUAAACAAAUGAAGGUAAGAUAAAACGAGGGUUAUCGAUUACAAGACAAGCUCCUCUGUUUGGUUAGAAUGCCGCCAAAACCUUUGGGUUUGAAGAACAACUUUUACUACCCUAUUACCUAUUGUAGAGAAUAACAGGGUAUCUAAUCCUGGUUUUUGGUCUCUAUUUUUUAUAUUCCUUCAAAUAAUUAAAGAUAAUUUACUUCUUUAUAUAAAUUUCACCUAAAAAAAGAAAAUAAUAUACUCAAAAUCAUUUACUGUUAAUUAAAAUAAUAGUUUACUCUAUUUAGAUUCUCCGUCUAACCGCGACAGCUGGCACGAUUUUAGUCAAUCUUAUAAGUUUAACUAAGUCCAAGUUAAUUUGUUUCUUAAAAUUAUCUACUACAUGAUAUCUCUAUUAAAAAUUUCUUAAUGAUAUAUAGAUUUAACUUAAAAUAGAACUGAAGCCAGGUUCAAACUUUAUUACAUGUAAACAUUUAAUUACAUAAUAUAACGCAGUAAUUUCUAAGAACACAAUAUCCAUAG
rnacentral:rRNA from 1 species